rnacentral:rRNA from 1 species
GACGAACGCUGGCGGCGUGCUUAACACAUGCAAGUCGAACGGAAAGGCCCUGCUUUUGUGGGGGGCUCGAGUGGCGAACGGGUGAGUAACACGUGAGUAACCUGCCCUUGACUUUGGGAUAACUUCAGGAAACUGGGGCUAAUACCGGAUAGGAGCUCCGGCUGCAUGGGGGGGGUUGGAAAGUUUCGGCGGUUGGGGUUGGACUCGCGGCUUAUCAGCUUGUUGGUGGGGUAGUGGCUUACCAAGGCUUUGACGGGUAGCCGGCCUGAGAGGGUGACCGGCCACAUUGGGACUGAGAUACGGACCAGACUCCUACGGGAGGCAGCAGUGGGGAAUAUUGCACAAUGGGCGGAAGCCUGAUGCAGCAACGCCGCGUGCGGGAUGACGGCCUUCGGGUUGUAAACCGCUUUCGCCUGUGACGAAGCGUGAGUGACGGUAAUGGGUAAAGAAGCACCGGCUAACUACGUG